UACGUAGGGGGCAAGCGUUGUCCGGAAUCAUUGGGCGUAAAGCGCGCGUAGGCGGCCCGGUAAGUCCGUUGUGAAAGUCAAAGGCUCAACCUUUGAACGCCGAUGGAUACUGCCGGGCUAGAGUCCGGAAGAGGCGAGUGGAAUUCCUGGUGUAGCGGUGGAAUGCGCAGAUAUCAGGAGGAACACCAAUGGCGAAGGCAGCUCGCUGGGACGU
rnacentral:rRNA from 1 species